rnacentral:misc_RNA from 1 species
AAGUCGUAACAAGGUUUCCGUAGGUGAACCUGCGGAAGGAUCAUUAACACGUAUCCACGUAUCCACCCCUGUGCACUUGUUUUUUCUCCCUGUGGCUUCACAUGAAUCGGUAAAACGCGUCAGCAUUUUGGAUAGGGCCUUCGGGCCGGUGCUGCGCGUACACUGGAGGCAUUCGUGCCUCUGACGAUUGAAGUGGAGUCUCAGGCAAACUGCUCAUUACAGAAGCCUCUAUCCAAGGCGGACGUAGUGGGUUCAUAUACACCAUUUUCACCCUUUUUGCUAGUUGAUUUUUUAAUGUUGUAUUCAUGUUCGCAUGUAUGCACACGUUUCUUAAUUGAACGAAAAAACAUAACUUUUAGCAAUGGAUAUCUCGGUUCUC